AAGCACUUCUAACUUACUGCCCUGAUUAAAUAGCCAACAUGCCGAUAAGAAAGUUUCUAUUACAGACUACUCUUCAUUGAGAAGGUGGUCCUCCUGUCUGUGGCUGAGCCUCAAUGGAGAGUGCUGACUCCUGGUUGACAUCUGCACGAACUGUACAGUGUUCUGAUCUGUCUCAAGUUAAUGAGUCUUCAGGGCAGGGAUGUGGACUACUGAAUUUCUGUAGCCAUCAUGAAGAAAGACUUUAUCAUUUGAAAAGUCACUGGAUCGCUGGAUAUCUUUCAGAAAAACAGCAUUCUAAGUGAUUGAUAUCUUAUUUAUUAGCGAUAUGUAAUGAAUGCCUUAAAGAUCUUUUGUCAAGGAUUAGAAUAUAUAUUUCAGGUAUGCAUUGUUCUCGCCUCUGCCCAUGAAAGAGCCAUAAACUAACAAUCAGC
rnacentral:sRNA from 1 species